GAAGCACACCAAGCAUCUAAAGGGCUUUGUUGUGUUCUUGUAGAUGGUACAGUUGGACUAGCAGCACGAGAGACAGCAAGAGAGACAGCAGGAGAAGUAGUAGGAGCAGGAGACACAAUUGGUGCAGGAGAACUAUCACGACCACCAGCAGAACCAUGAACACCAAGACCAGCAUCGCGAGCAAGAGCAACAAGUUCAGGUGGAAUGAUUGUUACUCCGAGAGACUUCAUAAUCGCAUUCAUCGCAAGUCGGGUUGUCGCCAACUCGUCCAUUACCUUGCCUACACCAGACUUCAACACCAACAUGUCUUCCUUGAGUGCUUCAUUGUUUUCCUUGAGUGCC